GAUGAACGCUGGCGGCGUGCCUAAUACAUGCAAGUCGAGCGAACGGACGAGAAGCUUGCUUCUCUGAUGUUAGCGGCGGACGGGUGAGUAACACGUGGAUAACCUACCUAUAAGACUGGGAUAACUUCGGGAAACCGGAGCUAAUACCGGAUAAUAUUUUGAACCGCAUGGUUCAAAAGUGAAAGACGGUCUUGCUGUCACUUAUAGAUGGAUCCGCGCUGCAUUAGCUAGUUGGUAAGGUAACGGCUUACCAAGGCAACGAUGCAUAGCCGACCUGAGAGGGUGAUCGGCCACACUGGAACUGAGACACGGUCCAGACUCCUAAGGGAGGCAGCAGUAGGGAAUCUUCCGCAAUGGGCGAAAGCAUGACGGAGCAACGCCGCGUGAGUGAUGAAGGUCUUCGGAUCGUAAAACUCUGUUAUUAGGGAAGAACAUAUGUGUAAGUAACUGUGCACAUCUUGACGGUACCUAAUCAGAAAGCCACGGCUAACUACGUG
rnacentral:rRNA from 1 species